GGCAGGGGCCGGCCUCGAGGUGCAGCCGGCAUUUCGCUGGCGCGCAGGGGGAGCUACCUUCGCGCCGGAGCCGCACAGAGCUGCGGGCGCCAGCCGGACGGCGGAGGCCCUGGAGGCGGCCAGUGCCAGCACGUCCGAGUGGACGCCCAGCGGGGGGACGGCCGAGCUGAACACGGCGGCCCAGGAGGUCCGGAACCGGCUUCAAGCCUAGGCCGCUUCGCUGCAGCGAUAUACCCAAGAGUUCCUCACGACGCGGGCUGUCAUCCGGGAAUACCAUAACCUCCGCGCUGCUGCCUUCAACUCCCAGGCUCAGGAGCUGGGCCAGAAAACUGAGGACCUGACCAACAGCCGGAGAGCCAAUGCCGUCUUGAGGGAGUAGCUCAGCGGGGCCCAGACCGCCCUUC